CCGGCCGGCGUAGCGUAAUCUCUCAUAAGUAGAAGCAAGAAGCAGAUGCUUUAAUUGCGUAAACGGCAAAGGCAGGAGAUCAUGUGAUGAAUUAGAAAAAUUAGUAAUAGCUCUCUCCGCAUAGGAGGCAGGAUUAUUGCAUGGGACACUAGCUGGGAUCUUUUCUUAAUUAAGCGUUGCCAGUCAAUGAUGACACUGUUGGAUUAUUGCGGUUUGGUGGCCGCCGUCUUAAAAUAACAAGCUUGCUGUCAGAGGCAUCCAAAAAUGUAACUGCACGUUUUGGAAAGUUUGUAGGCCGGAGGCCGGAGGGGCCACUUCAAUUCCAAUUCAGCGUAAAAAAUGUAGCUGCACGUUUGGAAAGUUUUUGUAGUCCGGAUGGGCCAGUUCAAUUCCAAUUCGCGUUCCUAUCUGGUUCUUCCUCCAUUUUUUUUAAUAUAAGUACUACAUUAGUUUGUCUUAAAUCAAACAUAUAUCUUUGACCAUUGACUUUUAAAAAGUUAUAUAUAGUUUCAUAUCAUAAGAUUUAUAUUUUU
rnacentral:lncRNA from 1 species